GUGGACGAACCUCUGGUGUUCCGGUUGUCACGCCAGUGGCACUGCCGGGUAGCUAUGUUCGGAAAGGAUAACCGCUGAAAGCAUCUAAGCGGGAAGCCCACCUCAAGAUUAGAUCUCACAAAUCUUCAAGAUUUCUGUAGGGUCCUUGUAGACUACAAGGUUGAUAGGCGGGAUGUGUAAGCGUUGCAAGGCGUUGAGCUAACCCGUACUAAUUGCCCGUGCGGCUUGACCAU
rnacentral:rRNA from 1 species